UGGGGGAUAUUGCACAAUGGGGGAAACCCUGAUGCAGCGAUGCCGCGUGGAGGAAGAAGGUUUUCGGAUUGUAAACUCCUGUCGUAAGGGAAGAGAAAGGACUGUACCUUACAAGAAAGCUCCGGCUAACUACGUGCCAGCAGCCGCGGUAAUACGUAGGGAGCGAGCGUUGUCCGGAAUGACUGGGUGUAAAGGGAGCGUAGGCGGGAUGACAAGUCAGAUGUGAAACCUGAGGGCUCAACCUUCAGACUGCAUUUGAAACUGCUGUUCUUGAGUGAAGUAGAGGUAAGCGGAAUUCCUGGUGUAGCGGUGAAAUGCGUAGAGAUCAGGAGGAACAUCGGUGGCGAAGGCGGCUUACUGGGCUUUUACUGACGCUGAGGCUCGAAAGCGUGGGGAGCAAACAGGAUUAGAUACCCUGGUAGUCCACGCUGUAAACGAUGAUUACUAGGUGUGGGGGGAUUGACCCCUUCCGUGCCGCAGUUAACACAAUAAGUAAUCCACCUGGGGAGUACGACCGCAAGGUUGAAACUCAAAGGAAUUGACGGGGGCCCGCACAAGCAGUGGAGUAUGUGGUUUAAUUCGAAGCAACGCGAAGAACCUUACCAGGUCUUGACAUCGAGUGACGUAUCCAGAGAUGGAUAUUUCCUUCGGGACACAAAGACAGGUAGUGCAUGGUUGUCGUCAGCUCGUGUCGUGAGAUGUUGGGUUAAGUCCCGCAACGAGCGCAACCCUUAUCAUUAGUUGCUACGCAAGAGCACUCUAAUGAGACUGCCGUUGACAAAACGGAGGAAGGUGGGGAUGACGUCAAAUCAUCAUGCCCCUUAUGACCUGGGCUACACACGUACUACAAUGGCGAUCGAACAGAGGGAAGCAAGACAGCGAUGUGGAGCCAAUCCCAAAAAAUCGCCCCAGUUCAGAUUGCAGGCUGCAACUCGCCUGCAUGAAGUCGGAAUUGCUAGUAAUCGCAGAUCAGCAUGCUGCGGUGAAUACGUUCCC
rnacentral:rRNA from 1 species